CUACAAAAUAAAGCAAACAACUGUUGCCAAAUCAUGGGUACCAAAAUAAAAUAGAGUUUAAGAGAGAGAGAGAAGUGAACGUUGGGGGCGAAGUAAAAACCAAGAUCCGGAGAGAGAACCGAAAGACAACUCAAAUCAUUUGAAUGAGGUGUGGAUGUCCUCUGGAGAAGUUAUUUUUUUCGGAAGUGUCAAACUUGUAAGUCAUAUUAAACUUGUCCAGAAAAAGAAAAGAAACAAGUAAUGUUCUUACUAAAUUGGCCGAAGAAUGGAAAAUUUAGUGGAGAUGACAAUGAGCCGAACACAUUAUUCGAUUCCAAAAUCACUAGAUCUCUCCCUUACUUUGCAUACAAUUGGAUACAACUGAUAAUGAUUUGCAUUCUUGUUUGCAUGUUUUGUAGAAUUUUUUUACUUAUAAUCCAAAAUAACAGACUUCUGGAGGGAAAAAGUUCAGCUUUCUCCCCUUAGAAAGGGAUAGUCACUUUGCCAUGAUGGUUCUCUACUUCACUUUUAACCUACAACUACAUGGAGCGGUCAUUGUCACCAAAAUUUAUUUCGUAGCGACAGAAAGAUAUCUGGUGUAUCAUUUCCCUGUAUAAUUAGAUUGUCUUAGUAGUUCCGUAAUGUGAUCUUUGCGGAUAUUUGAUGGUCGAGUUGUGUGUUGUGCGCAUAAGUUAUAACUUGAGGAUGGGGAUACUAAACUUUUUUAAGGCCUGAAGGUAUACCUUGUUUAAGGGUAUUGGAACAAGAUGGAGAACAUGAAUUAUGCCGAGGAGCUUAUCAGGGAGUUUCUUGUCUUCAGAGGGUUUACAAACACUUUGCAAGCGUUUGAGACAGCUAUGCAGUGAUAUUGGCAAAGGAUUUCAAGUGGAUAAGAUAUUAGACUUAAUGUUUUCGGUAUAUAUUUGCAAAUUUCGGGCAGAAAAAUUAAUUGGUUUGCUGGGAUUUUUCAAGCAGUGCUUUUCUUCAUCCUCCAAGACAGUAUUUUUUGAUAAAUUAUCAAAAUUGGACGUUUCUAUUAUUUGCUACUAUAUUGUCCAUGCCAUACGAUUAGGAAGGAAAGACAAAGUUAUCGAGUUUUUUUGGAAUAAGUGGUGGUGACUUGCUGCAAAGAGACCAGGAAUGGAAUUUGUGGUUUGCUGUCCCGUAUCUGAAAAACCCAUGCUUGGAUCCGCAGUUUCAUGUAUACUUUUCACAGGAGUGGUUUGAUGCCUUGCGUCUUUUAGUGAGGAAAUUUUUGAGCGCGAUGUUUAAUGAAAAAGGAAAAAAUGGAACUUUUGAAUUCCAUGGAGCUUUUCCUUAGCUAACUAAUGCAUCCCUGCCCUGUUGAAGAUUAGUUCAGAGAGAAAUACCGUAAACCGUCUUAAAAGAGACAUUAAACAACUUAAUCUUAAAUUGGCACAACUUCAGGCUUUAUUGGAGGAGACAGAGGGUCAGCUACAUUGGUCAAGGAGUGAUGGAAGUAAGCACCGGUGAAGCAAACAGUACAAGACACACUUCAACCGGGAGUUUGUUAAGUGCUGCGCAUGAAGAAAGUAAUGUUGCGCCAAAUGUUUCCCGUGAAACUUCUGCCUUUGCAAGCCGACAUAUUGGUGAAGCAGAGUUGUCUAAGGAUUGGUAUGUUGCUGAACCUGCUGAAAUUUCACAAGAAUCAGGCCCACCUUAUUCUGCUCAUGGUUCGAGUUCUAAAAUGAAUCAUCAUAUUGGAGACUGUGGAGCAACAAGUGCCCCUCAAAAUUUCUACGAUGGUAUUCAUAUUGGUAAGUAAUACUUGUAAUUUUUUGUCUCUCCUCCUUCCAUGGAUACAACAGAGUGAUUGCCGUGUGAUUGGUUGUCUUUGAAUUAGGGAAAUUUUCUACUGCUUGUUGCUUCAUGGAGCUAUUUUCGAGUGUUUGCAGUAUCAGGUAAAGCUAAGGUCACAGUCAUGCAGUAACAGUGUCGGAAACAUCAUGAAGGGCAUAAUAGGAAUGGCCAUCAGUGUUAUGUCUCUUAAACAUAGGAAACGCUAAAAGUCGAUUACAAUUAUGUACUAAUUUCAGUUUGUUACAUUAAAAUACUACAAUUGUUUCUUUGAAAAAUGUUAUGUCACCUUGAAAAAUGUUCUACUUGUUAUUGGACUU